AACGAACGCUGGCGGCGUGCUUAACACAUGCAAGUCGAGUGCGCGUACCGUAGCAAUACGGUAUGGCGCACGGCGCACGGGUGCGUAACACGUGGGUAACCUGCCCUUUGAUGGGGAAUAACCCCGGGAAACCGGGGCUAAUUCCGCAUAAGAUCCGCAAGGAUGAAAGCCGUAAGGCGUCGAAGGAGGGGCCCGCGCACGAUUAGCUAGUUGGUAGGGUAACGGCCUACCAAGGCUUUGAUCGUUAGCUGGUCUGAGAGGAUGGCCAGC
rnacentral:rRNA from 1 species